UUGAAGGAUUCUACGGUAGAGCGUAUUUCUUUCACAAUGCGUUUAUUAUUUUUUUUGUCUGUUCCGGUUUGGUUAUUUUUGUGUAGGCUUGGCUAUGAUCUCAACAGACCAGUAUGUAAACUUCAAUGCCCACUUCAAGAUUUCCCAUGGAGCCGGAGGUGUCCAAGUAUUAUGCAAGAUGUUGAAGGAUAGAAACUCCUGUUCUCUUGAAGCCCAUUGGAGGAAACAUUUUGAAUUGGUAUCUACUGGGACACAGGUAAAAAAAUGACCUCUUGGAUGUGCAUACAACAGUAAUUGAGCCACUGUUCUUGUUUUACUUCCAAAUAAUAUCUUAAGAUGAUGUCUGCAAUACCUUGCUGGCAAUGUACUUUUGGUUCAUAUUGAUCUUUA